ACAUUGGUGGUGCAGUGGUAGCACAUACCCCCGGAUAGGAUGAAACGCUGGUUCAAUUCCCGCCUGAGGCC